UACGGAGGGUGCGAGCGUUAUCCGGAUUCACUGGGUUUAAAGGGCGCGUAGGCGGGAAUGUAAGUCAGUGGUGAAAUCUCUGGGCUUAACUCAGAAACUGCCAUUGAUACUAUGUUUCUUGAAUUUUCUGGAGGUCAGCGGAAUAUGUCAUGUAGCGGUGAAAUGCUUAGAUAUGACAUAGAACACCAAUUGCGAAGGCAGCUGGCUACAGGGAUAUUGACACUGAGGCACGAAAGCGUGGGGAUCAAACAGG
rnacentral:rRNA from 1 species